AGGCUCUACUUUUGAGGGGAAAAAAACAAAUGAAGCUUACUUUUUUAUUUUUUUAUUUUUAAAACAUUGAACACCCCUUUUUGAAAACUAAAAAAAAAAAUUUACCUAUCAUCUCUCUUAUUUUCCUUAAAGAAAAACAGAGAGAAAGCUCUCAAAUUUUCUCUUAGGCCUGUGCCAUCCUCAUCGGAGAUCCGGCUAGCCGAGGUCGUGAGUUCGUCGGUAAGUCCCCUCUCUCCCUCUCUUGUUUUUUAAAAAAAAUCGUUUAAAAAAAUUUGAAAAGGAAACAGAACAAACGAAAUCCAAAUCAAGAGAAAAUUCGAAAAGAAAAAAAAAUGAAAAAUCACCUUUCAAAACUUAGUUCCAAUUCUUGAUUUACUCUUGAACUUUGUAUUAUCUCCGAAAAAAUAUAUAUAUCCCCCAAAAUACAAUCGAUUCCUCUCUAAAAAUCCUCCCUAAAAUACAAUCCCUUCUCCCAUCGAAAUAUCAAAAAAUCCCCCUCCUAUUACAUUCAGAUCUGGCAUUUAUAGCCAUUUCAAUACAAUAUUUUAAAUUUCUUGCCAUUGCUUCCUGCCGUCUGCCUCUGUCUUAGUGUUUGCUUUCUUUUCGUCUUAUUCUGCAGGUGACGGAAAUCAACAAGUGGGCGCACAUGGAGAGUUGGUGGGAGUGUCAGACGCGUGGGGCGUGGUGGCCAAGGCUGAGGGGCAUGGUGGCCGACAUGGUGGCAUGGAGAGCUGGGGUUUGCUGCUGAAAUUUUGCUGAAAAAUGUUUUAGAUUUUGGGCCUUUUGGGCUUUAGGGUUUUGAUUUGUUUGGGUUUAAAUUUUGGGUCAGAUUUUGGGUUUGUAAAUGGGCUGUUACUUUUGGGUUUAUUAUUUGAGUUAUUUUGUUGGUAUGGGCCCAGGCAAAAUGGGCUCGUACAGCUGCCCCUCUUUGCUUGUUGUCGUGUAACGAGAACAGAGCAAAGACUAAGAAGGUCAAUUUUGCCCGGUCUCACCGAGUCUUGAUUUUAUGGUGCUUAUCUUCUUCAAGUAACCUCAUUUCAGUCCACUGCGUCUUCUUGCUUUGAUCCACUUCACGGCAACUUCAGAUACGCCUUGUAGCUUCAAUCUACUUUGUUACGACUCCAUGGGGAUGAGAUUUGUGUUUUUAGUCUGCUCCACUACUGCUUAGGGAGAUAAGACUGGAUGUGAUCUACUCCGCUACUGCUUAGGGGAAUAAGAUCUGUAAUCUUCACUCUAUUCCACUGUUGAAUGCAGGGAGAUAGAGUUAUCGGCUUCAAUGUACUCCACUGUAGUCAGGGAGGUAAAAUCUGCCAUCUUCGAUCUGCUUCGCUGCCAAAUACAGGAAGGCAAGAUCUGCAAUCUUCAAUCUACUUCCUACCAAUAUAGGAAGACAGGACCUGCUAUCUUCGAUCUACUUCAUGCCAAUACAUGAAGACAAGAUUUACUUUCUUCGAUCCACUCCCUACCAAUAUAGGGAGACAGGACCUGUUAUCUUCGAUCUACUUCACGCCAAUACAUGAAGACAAGAUCUGCAUCUUGGAUCCACUUCCUAUCAAUAUAGGAAGAUAGGACCUGCUAUCUUCGAUCUACUUCACGCCAAUACAUGAAGACAAGAUCUGCUUUCUUCGAUCUACUUCGCCACCAAUAUGGGAAGACAAGAUCUGCAUCUUCGAUCCACUUCCUACCAAUAUAGAAAGAUAGGAUCUGCUAUCCUCGAUCUACUUCAUGCCAAUACAUGAAGACAAGAUCUGCUUUCUGCGAUCUACUUCGCCACCAAUAUGGGAAGACAAGACCUGUUUUCUUCGAUCUACUUCGCCACCAAUAUGGGAAGACAAGAUCUGCAUCUUCGAUCUACUUCGCCCAAUAUGGGAAGACAAGAUCUGCAUCUUCGAUCCACUUCCUACCAAUAUAGGAAGAUAGGAUCUGCUACCUUCGAUCUACUUCACGCCAAUACAUGAAGACAAGAUCUGCUUUCUGCGAUCUACUUCGCCACCAAUAUGGGAAGACAAGAUCUGUAUCUUCGAUCCACUUCCUACCAAUAUAGGAAGAUAGGAUCUGCUACCUUCGAUCUACUUCAUGCCAAUACAUGAAGACAAGAUCUGCUUUCUGCGAUCUACUUCGCCACCAAUAUGGGAAGACAAGAUCUGCAUCUUCGAUCCACUUCCUACCAAUAUAGGAAGAUAGGAUCUACUACCUUCGAUCUACUUCACGCCAAUACAUGAAGACAAGAUCUGCUUUCUGCGAUCUACUUCGCCACCAAUAUGGGAAGACAAGAUCUGCAUCUUUGAUCCACUUCCUACCAAUAUAGGAAGAUAGGACCUAUUUACGCCUAGUGUUUAGGAUGACAUGAUCAGAAUGAAUCAAAUGCUCCUAACUAGAUGUGUAUGUAUUAUAUUUGUAGAAUGUCAUGAGAAUGAUCCAUUUUUAAUGCUUAGGUUGUCAUUCCUCAUUGUUCAUCAAGGUUCUAUCACUGAUGCCUUCUUGUUCAGCCAGUACCUUUGACAGAAAAUCUAAAGAAAUAGAUGCUAUUUAGACUAUCAUUUCUCAAAUGUUUCCAACCCUUAGGUUUGGUUAGUUCUAAACAAUAGUCCUGUUUCAGGUCCUCGUAUUAUUUAGAAACUUUCAGAGUAAUAUGCAGAACUCCUUCUGCAUGUGUAUUGUCAGUCCAUUAAUCGUUAUUCCAAUGAAAAAUACUUGAAAAAGAUUAUCAAAAUGGACAAAAUAAAAUUUUGCUGAGAGCAAAGCUCGAAAUGAAUAAAUCAAUCAAGAUAGCAAAUUUUGCUGAGAUAUAAUGAAAAAGAUUAUCACAAUGAAUAAGAUGGAACUUUAUUGAGAGCAGAGCUCUAAAUGAACAGAUAGUAAAUUUUGCUAAGAUGUAAAUAAGAUAAAAACAGGUGCCCCAGAUAUCGCAGCGUGAGCUUCUCCGCACAAACUCUGUGUUUAGAAGUCCUAAAAGACUUUGUUGAUGCCCCAAGAUGUAGUAUCUCUCCUUCUUGUUAAUUCGAAGAAGACAAAACUACUCUAUGCCUCAUCUUUGAUCGAAAAUUUGAAUUGCCCAUUCCUGGGUUUUCAAUUCAAAAACCCCUUUGGUCUCAAGGUGCCCUUUGCGGGUUUUCGCCUUGGCCUCUCCCUUUUUUUUUUUAGGCAAAGUACCUCUUCACUGAAUCUGAAUUCACAGGAUUGGGCAAGCUUUUGCCAUCCAUCCCAGUUAAAAUUAAUGCCCCUCCUGAAAAGGCCUUUUUUACUACAUAAGGUCCCUCCCAGUUUGGCAUCCACUUUCCUCUGAAGUCCUUUUGUAUGGGAAGGAUCUUCUUCAGUACCAAGUCCCCUUCACGGAAGUUUUUAGGACGAACUUUCUUAUUGUAAGCUCGCAUCAUUCGUUUCUGGUACAUUUGACCAUGACGGAUAGCUCUUAACCUCCUUUCUUCAAUCAAGUUCAGCUGAUCAUAUCGGGAUUGGACCCAUUCUGCUUCGUCUAACUUUAAUUCUGAAAAAACUCGGAGAGAGGGAAUUUCAACCUCAAUUGGUAGCACUGCCUCCAUUCCAUAAACCAAAGAGAAUGGUGUUGCCCCGGUAGAAGUCCUGACGGACGUUCGAUAAGCAUAGAGGGCGAAUGGUAACUUCUCGUGCCAAUCUCUAUAGGUCUCAGUCAUUUUCCCCACAAUCUUUUUGAUAUUUUUAUUGGCUGCCUCCACCGCACCAUUCAUCUUCGGACGAUAUGGCGAUGAGUUGUGGUGCUUGAUCUUGAAUUGACUACAAACCUCUGCUAUCGUGCUAUUAUUCAAAUUUAAUGCGUUGUCAGAUAUAAUCCUUUCAGGCAUUCCAUACCGACAUAUGAUUUUCUUCUUUAAAAACUUACUGACAGCUGUCUUUGUGACGUUGGCGUAAGAAGUAGCCUCUACCCACUUAGUAAAGUAGUCAAUCACUACAAAAAUGAAACGAUGUCCGUUUGAAGCCUUUGGCGAUAUCGGCCCAAUGACGUCCAUGGCCCACAUGGAGAAAGGCCAUGGGGAAGUCAUGACGUGAAGAGGUGAUGGAGGCACAUGAAUUUUGUCUCCAUAAAUCUGGCAUUUAUGGCACUUCUUAGCAUAUUUGAUGCAGUCUCCUUCCAUGGUAGACCAAUAAUAUCCAAAUCUCAUGAUCUGUCUGGCCAUUGUGAAACCGUUAGCGUGUGUUCCACAAAUACCAUCAUGGACUUCUUCCAAGAUCUGCUUGGCCUCCACAGCGUCCACACAUCUUAACAGCACCUGAUCUUUUCCUCUUUUGUACAGGAUCUCUCCAUCUAAGACGUAAUCACUGGCCAGCCUCCUCAACAUUCUCUUGUCAUUCUCAGUUGUUUGGUUUGGGUAUUCACGAUUUUUCACGUAUCGCAAUAUAUCCUGAUACCAGGGGUUGUCGUCCUUUUCUUCUUCUUCGUCAAUGUUACAACAGUGGGCUGGAGCCUCAUAAAUGCUCAUUUGGAUAGGCUUCACAUCCUCUGGUCUAUUUACUUUGAUCAUGGAAGCCAAUGUAGCUAAAGCGUCGGCCAUCUGAUUCUCGUCUCGUGGGAGAUAACAAAAAGUGAUGUCGUCAAACUCCUCAAUCAAUUCUAGGACUAUCCUUCGGUAACUAAUCAACUUAGGGUCUCUUGUUUCCCAUUCGCCUUUGAGCUGAUAAAUUACCAAUGCUGAAUCCCCAUAUACCUCAAGUACCUUAAUUUUGCAUUCCAUAGCCGCGCGGAUUCCCAUGAUACAUGCUUCAUAUUCCGCCAUGUUAUUUGUGCAAUCAAAAUCUAGUUUACUGGUGAAAGGAUAAUGAUCACAGUUUGGAGAUACCAAGACUGCCCCAAUCCCGUUGCCCAUGGCAUUUGAGGCUCCGUCAAAAUUUAAUUUCCAAGUAUUGCCUUCUUGUGUGCUUGCUUCAGUAGUUGCCAUAUACAUCAGAUCCUCAUUUGGGAAAUCAAAGUUCAAAGGCUCAUAAUCGUCCAGGGCUCUACUUGCUAGAAAAUCUGCUAUCGCGCUCCCUUUUACAGCCUUUUGAUUCACAUAGGUUAUGUCAAAUUCAGAUAGUAGAAUUUGUCAUCGGGUCAUCCUUCCGUUUAGAGCAGUUGACUCCAUCAUGUAUUUCAGAGGGUCUAACUUUGAGAUUAACCAAGUCGUAUGGUACAACAUGUAUUGUCUCAAUCUCCGAGUAGUCUAAACUAAUGCGCAACAUAAUUUUUCAAUUGGCGAAUAUCUCGUUUCGCAUUCAGUGAACUUCUUACUGAGAUAAUAGAUCGCUCUUUCUUUUCGUCCUGACUCAUCAUGUUGGCCGAGCACGCCCCCCAUGGAAUUCUCAAAUACUGCCAAGUAUAGUAUCAGUGGCUUGUCAGGGCAAGGUGGCAUCAGUACUGGGGUGUUGGACAAGUAAUGUUUAACUCUUUCGAAAGUUUUCUGGCACUCCUUAUCCCAUACACCUGGAUUGUGUUUCUUAAGAAGACGGAAUAUGGGGUCACAUUUCUUAGUUAAUUGUGAAAUGAAUCGAGCGAUGUAAUUUAGUCUUCCUAGGAAACCCCGAACUUCUUUUUGAGUACUUGGCGGAGGUAAUUCUUGUAUGGCCUUAACUUUUUUUGGGUCAAUUUCAAUUCCCUUUUCGCUGACUAAGAAUCCUAGCAAUUUUCCUGAUCUAGCCCCGAAAGUACACUUGGCUGGGUUAAGUUUUAGCUGGAACUUCCUUAACCUUAGAAACAGUUUUCUCAGAACUUGCACGUGUUCCCCUUCUGUUCUGGAUUUUGCGAUCAUGUCAUCAACAUAAACUUCUAUCUCUUUAUGCAUCAUAUCAUGGAAUAAUGCUAACAUGGCUCUCUGAUACGUCGCUCCCGCAUUUUUCAAUCCAAAAGGCAUCACUUUAUAACAAAACGUCCCCCACAUCGUUAUGAAUGUGGUCUUCUCCCUGUCUUCAGAAAGCAUCUUAAUUUGGUUGUACCCAGAGAAACCAUCUAUGAAAGAGAACAGUGAGUAUCCGGCCGUGUUGUCUACCAAGGUAUCGAUAUGAGGCAGUGGGAAAUUAUCUUUUAGGCUGGCUUUGUUCAAGUCUCUGUAGUCCACACACAUUCGCACCUUCCCAUCUUUCUUAGGAACAGGGACUAUAUUGGCUACCCAUUUAGAGUACUUGACCACCUGUAAGAAACCAGCAUCAAAUUGCCUCUUAACUUCUUCCUUUAUUUUUAGCAAGACAUCAGGCCUCAUCCUUCGGAGCUUUUGUUGGGCUGGUUUGCAUUCUUCCUUUAUAGGCAAUCGGUGUACCACGAUAUCAGUACUUAACCCUGGCAUAUCUUGGUAGGACCACGCGAAGAUAUCUUUAAACUCUUGGAGCAACUCAACAAGGUCUUGCCUUGUUUCCUUGGCAAUGCAAGCGCCAAUUUUUACCUCUCUGCCCUCUUCUAAGAUUACAACUUCUACUGAUUCCUUAUAGGGUAGAAUUUGUUUUCCUUCUUCUUCCAUCAUUCUUAACAAAUCCAGAGAUAAAACGCUGUCUUUGUCACCUUCAAAAUCUUGAGGAUCGUCUAUACUCAUGUCUUGUUCAAAUAGAGACUCUGAAUUAGUAACAGCGUCGCUCAUCUCGUUGAUAUCUGAAGACCUGUUAUUGGAACAAAUGGAGGCCCAAAUAAAAGAAUCUAAGAAUACUUAUAUGCAUAGUAUGAUUAUAAAGGGAAUGAAAAGAAUGAAAGAAUAUUUGCUCAAGAUGAAACUGAAUGAUAAGUUUUCACUGAAAUUAGAUUUUGGACAUGUGCCUUUUACAAAAGAUUCUUAUCACCCCUGGUUCAGGGCAACAAGUGUUAUGAAUAUUACUCUGAAUUAGUUCUAAAUGUUACAGGGAUCUCUUCUGCAGUCCAGUUGUUUAGAACGCCUCUAGGGAUGUAGAAACAAGUCCCUGAUAGGUUUUUUAGUUCUUUCUUCAAAGGCACAAACAUCUUUACUUUCCAAUCCAUCGAUAUAUUCAAAGAAUUCUAAUUCUUUUUCAUCUAUCUGGCUCUGUACUAAAGUUCUGAACUCAAUACACUUUUGGAUUUUAGGAAAUUUAUUGUAUGCAAUGAAAUGUAAUGUUAAUGAAUAAAAAGAUGCUUGCAAUGAAAUAUAAUGCAGAUACAUGAAUGCAAAAAGAGAUGUUGAUUCUUGAUUCAAUUCUAUUAGAACAACUUUACUAGAAAACAAAUCUCUUUACAUAAAGCGGAUACAUAUACGGCUUUGCCCUCAUAUGCGGAGACAUUCGAUCAUUUUCUUCGUUCGAGCGUUAAGAUAAGUCUCACGAACUCUUCAAAAGGGACGUAUCUUAUAUCUCCUUUUUACUCAAUCCGGGUCGUGACUCGUUGCUCACUAAAACUCAUGGUGCUCGUUGGCUUCUCUUUUAAAAAAGUUCAGCGGCUCUCGAAUAAUCCUUGUCACAUUAAAUUCUCGGGCCACGGAGCAAUGGUUGUGUGGUCCUCCAUUAAACUAUCAUCCUUCAUACGGCUUUGCCCUCAUAUGCGGAGACAUUCGAUCAUUUUCUUCAUUCGAACGUUAAGAUAAGUCUCACGAACUCUUCAAAAGGGACGUAUCUUAUAUCUCCUUUUUACUCAAUCCGGGCCGUGACUCGUUGCUCACUAAACCUCAUGGUGCUCGUUGGCUUCUCUUUUAAGAAAGUUCAGCGGCUCUCAAAUAAUCCUUGUCACAUUAAAUUCUCGGGCCACGGAGCAAUGGUUGUGUGGUCCUCCAUUAAACUAUCAUCCUUCUCUUAUCACGUUUUCUUGGACCAUAUUCGAACAACCGUAUUAUUAUCCACUUUAUCAAGAAACCCAUUUCCUUAUGACAAGCUCUCUAUUUAACAACUGAACGUGAAUCAACACCUCCUUUUAUGCAAUGCAAUCAUAACAAAAAGAAAACAGGUUAGUACAAAGCAAAAGCAAGCAAGAAUAAAUAGAACACCUAUUUGGGUGAAUACUAGGGGUUCGAAGUGGUUCUACCUAGGGUGGGCUCCUAAGGUUCACUACAUGAGGUUUGGUUCUAAAGUAAGGGUACCCGAACCAGCAGAUUCCUCGAUCCUCACCCAUUAUAGGCUCAUGCGGACCGAGUUCGGUUCAGGGGGAUACAUUUCCCUAUGGCCAUGCGGAGAUGAAAAUCUCACGAAGACAUAGGUACGGAUGUAUCCCGGAAGCGAUUCACUAUCCCAUGCGGAGGUGAAAACCUCACGAAGGCGUAGUUUCUCACUCCCACUUAAAAGGGUAUGACCAGCGAUCAUGCAAUGCAAUGUGCAGAGGUAUAAAAUAAAAUACAGAACACGAUAAAAAAAAUAUAACUCAAAACAAAAGAGAUGCAAUGAAAGGAUCGUAAAUUUAAAUCGAAUUUUCCACUUUCAACAAAAAGACAAGAAAUAAUCAACACGUAGCUUGACUCUCUUAUUUUCCCCAGUGGAGUCACCAAGCUGUUGGCACCAUUUUUUGGAUAAAACGGGGUCGACUUGGAUUUUGAAAAAGAAUAAAAACGGGAGUCGCCACCAAUCUUUUUUUGAUGAGGUGUGAUCGGGUCACCUCAAAAAGUGGUUGUUUUUAAUAAAUGAUUUAAUUUUAUUAAAACAACGAUUUUGGUCUACGAAAUUCAGAAAAAUGAGUUCGGGAGUCGGUUACGCACGAGGAAGGAUUAGCACCCUCGAUACGCCCAAAAUUGGUACCUAGUUGAUUAAUUAGUGUCUUAGUGUCGGAAAUUGAAAAUUUGAAGAGUUUUUUUUUAAUACGAUCCUUAAAAGAAACUCUGAUAACGUGAAUUGAAAGGUAAGAUUCUCUUGUUCCGAAGGAAUAUCACAUCCAGCACGUUAGGACACGAUACUCUAAACCAUCGAAACCAAUAUCACCUUAUAGUUUAAUGAAACCAUACUUUGAAGCUUUAAGAGAAUAUUUGGCUAUUUAGUCGAACGAGAAAUCGAAACCCAGCACGUUAGGGCACGUUUUCUCGAUUUUCCAAAUGCGAAAUAUUGCCUUAUUUAGAAAAAUACAAGUGAAAUUCCGGAGAGAUAUUCGAUUAUCUUGGACAAACGGGAGAUUGCAGCCCAGCACGAUAGGGCACUAUUCCCCGAACUGCCAAACAUCGAACACUUCUUUCGUUUUAAAAGGUUUUUAGAAAACGUGAAUGAAAUUUCGAAGGAAUCUUCGAUUGUUUAGAACAAAUGAAAAAACGCAACCCAACACGAUAGGGCACGAUCCUCAAAUCGCCAAACAUCGAACAUCCUUUGUAUUGAAAGGUUUUUAAUAAACAUGAGUGAAAACCUAAAGGAAUAUUCGAUUAUUUUGAGCAAACGAGAAAUUGCAACCCAACAUGUUAGGGCACUAUUCCGCGAAUUGCCAAAUAUCGAGUCUCGUCUUCAUGAUAAAUAAAAUAUAAUAAGUAUAAUAAACUAUAUUUAAAAUUAUUAUAAAAUAUGUAUAUAAAAAGAAAUAGUACAGAAAAAAAUGAUUAUUAGUAAAACAAAAAUAAGAUAACAAGUAAUGUGAUACAUAUAAUGACAAUUUGUACAUAAAAUAAUUAGUUUUAUUUUAUACAUAUAUAUAUAUGAAGCAUAUAACAAAUAAAUAAAUAAAUAAUAUAGUAAUGUGAAACUUAACUCCAAUUGAUUAAAUUAGAUGAAAAGAAAUAAGAAAUAAUGAAAAUGAUAUAAUAAGUAUAAUAAAUAAUAGUGUAAAAAAAAUAGUAUAAUAAAUAAUAGGAAAAUAAUUUUAAAAAUGAUAUAAAAAAUAGUAAUAAUAGAUUAAUAAUAAUACCAAAAAAAAAUUUGUGAUAGAAGUGUCUAAAAUAAACAAAAUAGGGCUUAAUUGAAUUAAAAAAUGAAAUUCUGGAGUGAAAACAGAACAAAAGGAUACAAGGGGACCAAAAUGCACACGUGGGUAAGGAGGGAGGGGUCUGGGCGUAAAUUUCCGGGGUAAUUUGAAAGCAUUUAAAGAAAACAAAAAAAGACUUGAUUGAACGUAGGCACCCAGGACAGGGACUAAUCGCGAAAAUUUCCCAUUUAAAAGAAAUGUGCACAUUUCCAUCCCUUGAAUGCACGGUCAGGUUUUUCCCUUCCCUAGGCUCUACUUUUGAGGGGGAAAAAAACAAAUGAAGCUUACUUUUUUAUUUUUUUAUUUUUAAAACAUUGAACUCCCCUUUUUGAAAACUAAAAAAAAAAUUUACCCAUCAUCUUUCUUAUUUUCCUUAAAGAAAAACUGAGAGAAAGCUCUCAAAUUUUCUCUUAGGCCUGUGCCACCCUCAUCGGAGAUCCGGCUAGCCGAGGUCGUGAGUUCGUCGGUAAGUCCCCUCUCUCCCUCUAUUGUUUUUUAAAAAAAACCGUUUAAAAAAUUUGAAAAGGAAACAGAACAAACGAAAUCCAAAUCAAGAGAAAAUUCGAAAAGAAAAAAAAAUGAAAAAUCACCUUUCAAAACUUAGUUCCGAUUCUUGAUUUACUCUUGAACUUUGUAUUAUCUCCGAAAAAAUAUAUAUAUCCCCCAAAAUACAAUCUAUUCCUCUCUAAAAAUCCUCCCUAAAAUACAAUCCCUUCUCCCAUCGAAAUAUCAAAAAAUUCCCCC
rnacentral:lncRNA from 1 species